rnacentral:rRNA from 1 species
GCUUGUCUCAAAGAUUAAGCCAUGCAUGUCUAAGUAUAAGAGGGCAUUUGUUCCCUCGAGACUGCGAAUGGCUCAUUAAAUCAGUUAUUGUUUAUUUGAUGGUACCCCCUACUCGGAUAACCGUAGUAAUUCUAGAGCUAAUACAUGCAUUAAACCCCGACUUCUGGAAGGGGUGUAUUUAUUAGAUGGAAACCAAUGCGGGGUAACCCGGAAUAUGGUGAUUCAUAAUAACUUUCGGAUCGAUUUAUCGAUGCAUCAUUCAAGUUUCUGCCCUAUCAGCUUUGGAUGGUAGGGUAUUGGCCUACCAUGGCUUUAACGGGUAACGGAGAAUUAGGGUUCGAUUCCGGAGAGGGAGCCUGAGAAAUGGCUACCACAUCCAAGGAAGGCAGCAGG